GCCCCCUCCCUCUCUCUCUCUCUCUCUCUAUCUAUCUAUCUAUCUAUUUGUGUAUGGUUGGAAGUCAUUUGCAAUCAUUUAACGGUUUUUCUUCUUUGGCUCAUGUUUCUGGCUUCUUCUUUGGAUUGCAUAAUUCUAACAGGCAUUUAGUAUUGCUUAUUAUAUAUAUUCGAGGGCUUUUUUAAGCUGCCGGUGAUAGUUGGAACUGUACAGAAUUUCCGGAAGAAUCAUUUAUCAAAUCCUCAUAUUAGAGAAAGUCGUGGAUUUUCAACUUUCUGGGGUCGAGGAAUCAUAAAAUAUUAUGGCUGAUCAUAAACGCGAAGCCGACUCCCAGGAUGAAUGUUUCAUCGCAAAGAGGACCAAGGCCACUGACUUGGAUGCAGAAGGUGGGGAAAAGGGAAGGGUUGAGAAAGAAAAUGAUGUGCUAGAAAGUAACCUGCAAGUUUCCAAUGAAACAAUUAGUCCAAAUGGAAGUAAUUCACAGCAAGAGCUUUCUAAGGACUGCAAGAAAGUCGCUGAGAUCCCUGAGAUCAAUAGUGCAACUAAAGAUGCAGUCUUGUGCAAUUCAGAAACCAUACAUCAAGAAGUUAGCAAACUAUCAUGUAUUGAAGCUGAUGCAGCAGAAGAUAAGGGUUCUAGACACACGAUGGAGGAUGCAUGGGUGGUUCUUCCAGAUGCAAGCUUGGAAUAUCCUGGAAGCUUAAGAUGUGCACAUUUUGCAAUUUAUGAUGGACAUGGUGGUCGUUUGGCUGCUGAAUAUGCACAGAGAUAUUUACAUGCAAAUGUUCUUGCAGCAGGGCUACCACGUGAGUCGAUGGAUGUAAAAGCUGCCAAAAAAGCCAUACUUGAAGGGUUUCGGAGAACUGAUGAAUCAUUACUUCAAGAAAGUGCUAAAGGGUAUUGGCUAGACGGUGCAACCGCUGUAUGCAUUUGGAUUUUGGGGCAAACAGUUUUAGUUGCUAAUAUUGGAGAUGCUAAAGCUAUAUUAGCACGAUCAGCUUCUGCUGAUGAAUCCCUUAGUCUCUCAAAUGAAUCAAGAUCUCCAUUGAAGGCCAUUGUUAUGACAAGAGAACACAAAGCUAUCUAUCCUCAAGAACGUGCUCGCAUUCAAAAGGCUGGAGGUUCUGUUGGUCCUAAUGGACGACUGCAGGGUCGCCUUGAGGUUUCUAGAGCCUUUGGAGAUCGUCAAUUCAAGAAGGUGGGGGUUAUUGCAACCCCUGAUGUUCAUUCUUUUGAACUUACAAGAAGAGAGCAGUUCAUCAUUCUUGGUUGUGAUGGACUGUGGGGGGUUUUUGGACCAAGUGAUGCUGUUGAUUUUGUUCAGAAACAGUUAGAGGUAACAUUUCAUUACAGAUGUUAAAUGAUUAUGGAGCAGCAUUACUGUUUUCUUUUCAGGACUGCCAUUUUUUCAACUUCUAGCUGUUUUGUUGAAGCACAUGGAACAAUUCUCCUUUCCAUUUGGCAUAUAAAUAACCUUUGCAACUGAAUGAUGGCUUCCGAAACACAAUAUUUGAAACAUCAUCCGCGACUAUUGCAGCCCGCCGCCUUGUGAGGGAAGCUGUUCGUGAAAGACGCUGCAAGGAUAAUUGCACAGCUAUACUCAUUGUGUUCAGGCACAAUUAAUUGAUCCAUACAGCAUGGUUGGGGAACAACUUUUCUUUGUUGUGGCUAAUUUUGACUAAUGAACCCAUCGAUUCAGUUUGUAAUCCUGAAAGUGCAGUCCAGUAGGUCCAUUGAUAUUGUACAAUAGAGGAGUUGGUAUCCUUUUUGAUUUAAGGAAGUAGAUAGCAUACUUUUUUUAAAAAUAUAUCAGACUUAUGUUAAAGAGACGCUAUGAAAGUUACCUUGUGAUUAUGAGAUAAGUGUCACAUCCAAGUGUGAGAUAGGCGCCCCAACUUACGUCGUGCUACUGUUGUGAAUUAUUUUCAUUAUUUAAGCCUACCAUUCUGUCUCU